GGAAGCAAGGUGGAAGCUGAUGCAAACGGCGGAGGGAGAGGCUGAGGGGGGUUGCACCCACCUGGGCUCCCCGAGUAAUGGGGUGGAGGGCCGUGUGUGAGUCCCGCUCUCCUGCUCCAGCCUCUGUCCACCGGAGCUGGAGGGGGGGUGCUGAGCGAGCAAGGGGGGUGCUGGCGCAGGCCCGCCUGUCGGCUCGGCAGGGGGAGCUCUGACGCGAGGCCACGGCCGGACGCAGCCCCAGCCAGGCGAGUCAUAACCGCCGGCCCGCAGCCACGGCCUGGGUUAAAGGGACAUUCCACUGCCCAGCAACCCACAUCCCUCUAAGCCUCCCUGCCCCUCCACCCCUGGGCGAGCGGCAUUCGGGCCUUCCUUGGGGGGACGCCGGCCCCUCCAGCCCCAGGAACAAUGCGACCCUCCUGCCGGUCAAGCAGCAGCCACUAUACAGCCCAGGAGAUCGGGGCUCAGGGCCCUCCCCACUCUAGCUGGACUACUUCAAGGUUUGCCUCCCUCCUGCCUCCCUCUGGUGCUCCCUCCCUCUCUGUCCUGCAACUAGACUGAUCCCUCUACUGUCCCUUCCAACCCGUAAGAGCUUUCCAUGGCUCCCCAUUGCCCUCGGAACAUAGCCUUGGCUUCUUCACUCGGCUAAUAAGACCCAUAGAGUCUGGCUGUGACCCAAGAGCUCUGGACAUCAUCCACAGGGCCCUGAACCUGCCUGCCCCUCUCUUCCAGGGCAGCAAACACCCCCUCUCUCAUAUUCAUGCUUUGCACCCGCAUUCCCUCUGCCCCGAGUGUGUGCCCCCCAUCCUGGCACACUCCUACUCAUCCCUCUAUGCCCCACUAUAACGUCGCCACCCCUGGAGAGCCUUCUCUGGCCCCCCCAGGCCGAGUGAGUCAGUCCCUGCCCUCCGGGAUGUGCCUCUAUUUUAGCUGUUAUCUCUGUAGUCACGUCUUUAGAGCUCGGUCUCCCCAGAGAGCCCCACAACUCUUCGAGGAUGGGGCCAAGGGGCUCAUUUACCUUCCUCCCCCAGCACAGGGGGCAGGCCGGCUCGGUGCUCUGUGAGUCAGUAGGAUGGUCUCUGUACCCCUCUUCUCCAGCUUUCCACAGGAUGCUAUUACUGUCCCCACCCGCCGAAUGUCCCGCCGCUGCUCAGGUCCCAGCCCAAGGGGGCCGGAAGUGGCUGCCCCCACAGACUCCAGAUGGCAGCUGUCAGAGGGGCCGGAAGGACAGACAGGAGAGUUCUGCUGGCUGGGCUGGGGGGUGGGGAGGAGGGAAAAGGUGAGGGCAGGUAGAAGAAAGACAGCCAAGUGCAGAGGGCGCCAGAACUGAGAAGAAAGCAGACGGGCGGCCAUGGUGUUGGUGUCCUCCAAGGGAUGACGGUAAAGAAGAGGAUUUUUCUAAAGAAUUAGCUGUUAGAGUCAGCUUGUUGAGCUCAGCAUUCCUCAGAGGCCAGACCAUGUGCCUCUCGCCUUCAAUGUUGUUACACAAUCUAGUGGCCGCUUUGGGAAUGCGUUUUAGGGAACAUCUCUUCAGGCUCAGGGCAGAUCUCCCUGGAGUGACAGAGUUAGAAAGAAUAUGUUCCUAAAAGAAGGGCCUGUUCUCCCAAAGACAAGAGAAUGAAUUCUCUCUAGAUGAGCACUUUCUGACUCGGGGUCCCUGCCGGAGGCUGGGACGGCUCUGCCCAAAACGACACAGGACGGACACAUCGCAUGUAUACACUGCUGCAAAUUUUUCAGCCACGAUUCCUUGCCUGGUGGACCCACCUCUCCCGGACCACAAGGUCCUGGAAGGGCCAUGAGAGUACACAGCCCCCUAUGGUCAAGGCUGGGACAAAAAAAAGACCGAGACCGACGAGAAGAACCUCCUCCUCACUCGAAGUAGAGCAAAAGGUGGCAUGUGUUGCUUACUAUGUCCUUCUAAGGCCUAAAAACAUGCCUUUGUGCCUCAGUUACCUCAUCUGUAAAAUGGAGAUCAAAAGACCCAUUUCUCAGGUUUGUGGCGAGAAAGAAAAGCGUGAGACAUAAGGUUCCUGGGCUGCAACGGGCAGGCGGUAGGAGCUCAGUCUGUGCACAUUCCCUGCUCGUCUCCCAGAGAGGGCCCCACGGUUUAUACCUUUCUUAUGCUGGAGGUGAAUGUGCCCUAAGCUAAAUACCCUGCCCUCCUGGGAGCUGGCCGUCUCCUCUGAGGGAAAGCGGAGUGCGAGAGCGCGGAGGGGGCAGAGGAAACUGCUUGUUCAUGUUUGUCUCUCCUACCUGCAGUAAGACUGUUCCCCCAGGGAUUGUGAGCUGUAAACAGUACUUCGGGGCAUUCUCCCAGGACAGCAGCUGAACAUCUUCAAUAGCGCUGUAGGAGACCGAGUUUUCCAUGUACCCAGUUGGCUGCAGCAAAAAGAAAAAAAGAAAAAGAGAGAGAGAAGACACACAUUGGUUACAAGAUCAGGCACAGUAUCCAUGCCUCAAAGAAGGUUCCAGAAAACAUCCUCCCGCCCCCCCCCCCCCAUUCUGGCAACAGGCAAACCGAGUUGGUACAGACACGGGGCGACUCUGGAGACCAAAGGAACUCCGUCUUUCCUAGCAUCCCAGCUGGCAGGAGGGGGCUGCAGUGGAAACCCGCCCCCGUGUUUGGAGCUGUAGAGUCGGGACCAGACUGGGGGCACCUUAAGGGCAAAGCCUGUACCCUGUUCCUCUGGGCGUUCACGGGGCCCAGCACAGGGCAGAGCCUGGAUCCCUCCAGCCCUCACUGUGUCCAAGCCACUGCCUUCUCCUGCCCAGAAUGCAGUCAUAGACCCCCUUGGAUUUCCCGGUCUCGUCUCCCCACCCAGAUAUGCACUCUCCACUCGAGACCCAGGGCCACAUUCCAAGUCGACGAACUGUAUCCCCCUACUCCCUGUUCAGUGUCCUUCCAUAGCUCCCGGUGGCCCAAGCACGAAUCCCACGUGCCCCUCCACCCCUGCCGGGCUCCUUCCUCCAGCCGCACCCACUUUCUCUUCUCCGUCGGCCCUCCCCAAUGGCCCACCCGGUGGCACCACACAGUUAGCCUGCCCUUUGUCCCCAGACGGUUGUGGCCCAAUCCCUGGCAUCUCCUCCUCCACUGUCCAGGCCUCAGCUCCACAGGUCUUCAGGGGGGCCUGCUACCCCCCAGACCCUAAAGCCCACCUGGCCACAUCCUUCCCUGUGCCCUCGGCGCUCCGCGCACCCCAGUGAAUCACUGUGGACGCCUACCAUAUGUCAUCUACUGAUGCCUGCCUCCUGGCCAGGCUGCAGCUCCGUAAGGUCAGCCCCGUGUCUGUCUUGCUCCCUGCCCUCUCUCCACAGAGCCUGGCACGUGGCAAGGGCUCAACAAUUUGUGUCGAAAGGAAGAACUGGAACAGCUUUCGUCGGUCAAUGCUGGGGUGAGGGCAGGGAGAGAGAAACUCACAGCCGCUCACUACUCUCUGAGGGAGCUCCCCUGUCACGGAGAGAAGGCACCAGGAGCCAAGGGGAUGCACUGGUCACCAGGUACCAGCAGCGUCCUUAUCGCCCUGACCCCAGGAAGCCAUACUUUAGCAGAGCCAGAGGCAAGCGUAGCUUAGCCCAGAAGGCAGAAUGUGACGGCUGACACGUCCCCAGCCGUGACACGCGCCAAGCGAGGUCUCCUUCCAUCCUCACAACGGCCCCGUGGAGCAGGUGCCAGGGCCAUCCCACCACACGAUGAGGAACCUGAGGUGUCACAUGACUUGCCCAAGACCCGUACCUCUGGUCUAACCGUGACAAAAGGAUCGGAUAAACCCCAACCGAAGGACGUUCCUCACAACACCUGACCAGUACUCAUCAAAACCAAGCAAGGUCCAAGCAACUGUCCCAGACAUGAGAAUUCUCUGUCUAUGGAGGAGGACCACUCCUUGCACUGUGGGAUCCCCAGUGGAAUCCUGGGACAGAAGACGGACAUUAGGUAAAAAUGAAGGGAAGCAAAUAAAGCAUGGACUUUAAUAACAGCAUAUCACUACUGGUUCAUUAGUUGUGACAAAUGGAUCAUGUUUCUGGGAGAUGUUCACAACUGGGGUAGCGGGCUUAGGGGUCCAUGGAAACUCUGUGCUGCCUUUGUAACUUUUCUGUACAUCUCAAACUGUCCUAAGAUAAAAUGU